UACGUAGGUGGCAAGCGUUGUUCGGAAUUACUGGGCGUAAAGGGCUCGUAGGCGGCCAACUAAGUCAGACGUGAAAUCCCCAGGCUCAACCUGGGAACUGCGUCUGAUACUGGAUGGCUUGAAUUCGGGAGAGGGAUGCAGAAUUCCAGGUGUAGCGGUGAAAUGCGUAGAUAUCUGGAGGAAUACCGGUGGCGAAGGCGGCAUCCUGGACCGACAUUGACGCUGAGGAGCGAAAGCUAGGGGAGCAAACGGG
rnacentral:rRNA from 1 species